rnacentral:rRNA from 1 species
GACGAACGCUGGCGGCGUGCCUAAUACAUGCAAGUCGAACGCAGUGGGUACGGGUGAUUAACACGUGGGUAACCUCCCAUCAGAGGGGAUAACACUUGGAAACAGGUGCUAAACCGAUACUGAUGGAUGGACCCGCGGUGCAUUAGCUAGUUGGUGAGGUAACGGCUCACCAAGGCCACGAUGCAGAGCUGACCUGAGAGGGGGAUCGGCCACACUGGGACUGAGACACGGCCCAGACUCCUACGGGAGGCAGCAGUAGGGAAUCUUCGGCAAUGGACGAAAGUCUGACCGAGCAACGCCGCGUGAGUGAAGAAGGUUUUCGGAUCGUAAAACUCUGUUAUUAGGGAAGCGGUACCUAAGAAGAAAGCCACGGCUAACUACGUGCCAGCAGCCGCGGUAAUUC